CCUGCGGCGCAUUAGCUAGUUGGUAAGGUAACGGCUUAGCAAGGCGACGAUGCGUAGCCGACCUGAGAGGGUGAUCGGCCACACUGAGACUGAGACACGGCCCAGACUCCUACGGGAGGCAGCAGUAGGGAAUCUUCCGCAAUGGACGAAAGUCUGACGGAGCAACGCCGCGUGAGUGAGGAAGGCCUUCGGGUCGUAAAGCUCUGUUGUGAGGGAAGAACAAGUACCGGAGUAACUACCGGUACCUUGACGGUACCUCACCAGAAAGCCACGGCUAACUACGUGCCAGCAGCCGCGGUAAUACGUAGGUGGCAAGCGUUGUCCGGAAUUAUUGGGCGUAAAGCGCGCGCAGGCGGCUUCUUAAGUCUGAUGUGAAAUCUCGGGGCUCAACCCCGAGCGGCCAUUGGAAACUGGGAAGCUUGAGUGCAGAAGAGGAGAGUGGAAUUCCACGUGUAGCGGUGAAAUGCGUAGAUAUGUGGAGGAACACCAGUGGCGAAGGCGACUCUCUGGUCUGUAACUGACGCUGAGGCGCGAAAGCGUGGGGAGCAAACAGGAUUAGAUACCCUGGUAGUCCACGCCGUAAACGAUGAGUGCUAGGUGUUAGGGGUUUCGAUGCCCGUAGUGCCGAAGUAAACAC
rnacentral:rRNA from 1 species